rnacentral:lncRNA from 1 species
AUUACACCAAUCAUAGAGGAUGGCUCUUCUGGAGGGUACCUGAUUAGUGAUUUUCAUGGUUAAUAUUUUACUGCAGCAUAGCUUUGCAUUACCUUGGCCUAUACAUGUGCCAUUUCUAAUUGUUUGUAUAUAACAGUCCAGAGUUUUGUUUUUGGAAAGCCUGUGAAACUAAAAACAAGCUCAGAGGAAAGAGUACAUGAUCAGUUUGGUGUCUACAUUGAACAAGAGGGAAGAGUGUCCUCCAUGUAUCUGCCGACUGUGAGAUCCUGGCCUAGUGCUAUCCUAUAUAACUUCUGGAAUCCAGGUGCCAUAUUGUAAGGCAGCCCUGUGGAGAUGCACAGAUGUGGUAGAAGCAUUCUCUAAGAUGAGAUGCAGCCCCUGUUGAUGGUCUGACUGCACCCUCACGAGAUACUUCGAACCACAGGCACCAGCUAAGCUACACCCAGAUUCCUGACACACAGAAAAGGUAAGAUAAC